AGAGCCUAUAGCUUAGUGGUAGAGCACAUGCUUUGCAUGCAUUAAUGUUCCAGGUUUAAUCCUUUGUAUCUCUA